GACGAACGCUGGCGGCGUGCUUAACACAUGCAAGUCGAACGGAAAGGCCCUGCUUUUGUGGGGUGCUCGAGUGGCGAACGGGUGAGUAACACGUGAGUAACCUGCCCUUGACUUUGGGAUAACUUCAGGAAACUGGGGCUAAUACCGGAUAGGAGCUCCUGCUGCAUGGUGGGGGUUGGAAAGUUUCGGCGGUUGGGGAUGGACUCGCGGCUUAUCAGCUUGAUGGUGGGGUAGUGGCUUACCAAGGCUUUGACGGGUAGCCGGCCUGAGAGGGUGACCGGCCACAUUGGGACUGAGAUACGGCCCAGACUCCUACGGGAGGCAGCAGUGGGGAAUAUUGCACAAUGGGCGGAAGCCUGAUGCAGCAACGCCGCGUGCGGGAUGACGGCCUUCGGGUUGGAAACCGCUUUCGCCUGUGACGAAGCGUGAGUGACGGUAAUGGGUAAAGAAGCACCGGCUAACUACGU
rnacentral:rRNA from 1 species